UAAGUCUCUUUUCUCCACUGCUGCUUGUUUGUGAUCUGUUUCAGGUAAGUCUCAGCCUCCUGCUGCUGUCUCAGUUCCCCCUCUGUGCAGCAGGGACAUGUCCCUGCAGCAGCGCAGUGUGCACGUGAGAUGCUGUGCUGACUCAGAGACAGGGUACCCAAGUAAGCCUACCUGCCUCUGCUAGGCUGGGUGCUGUAGGAGAGUCAGCCAGAACAGUGAGAAAAUUAAACUGCAACUUCAUCAGCGAAAGGGAAUGUGAUCUCCAGCACUGGCAAAUUGAGUUCUGGACUGAUGCAAACACAGACCUUGAUGCAUGUGCUGGACAGUGGUGUGACAGCCUUUUCUUCACUUGAUCUGCAACUCUCACGAUAUGAAAGGAGACUGUACAGUUCUCUUCAGUUCUGAAGGCCUCUGAGCUGGCUGUCACAAAGGCAGGGCACAAAAAGACCCCUCUCCAAGGUAGAGAAGAUAGCUGUAAACUUUAGACUUUUCUGGUGCAAUGAUCUACUGAAAAGCUCCAGGUGGCUGAGGAGGUGAAGAGGAGAUGCUCUGCAGGAUCUGAUUUUCACAAACGAAGAUGAACUGGCUGGGAAUCACAGAAUCAUUAGGUUGGAAGAGACCUUCAAGAUCAUCGAGU